ensembl:lncRNA VAV3-AS1 VAV3 antisense RNA 1
AUCAUCUUUAGAAUUUGAUGAGAAAGUAAAAUUGCUUCCUCACUGUCCUCACCGGAUUCACAGGGGGAAAUGAUUCAGAGGCUUUUGCCUUUACCUCCUAGAGCAUGUUCUUGCAACUGUUGGGCUAGUCUUAUCUGGCCAAACUCUGUUACUAACAGAAUGUCUAGUUAUUUUGCAGGCACAGAGUUAAGAAGUGGCAAGUUAACACAGCCAGAGCAUGCACAGAAGAAAACUUCGACCUCAAAUAACACCUAGAACCAAAGUCCCUACCGCAGAACUAAAAGAUUGGGAUGUGGCUGGAACUCAAGCACCUAAACACUUUCAAAAGGCUUUGCCUUCCAGUGUCUACUUGGCCUUCCAGUGUCAGACAGCUUCUUGCACCUGACCCACUCAGCUGAGGACACAGAUGUCAAAAAAAAAAUCAUAAA